UCCUACGGGGGGCAGCAGUGAGGAAUAUUGGUCAAUGGGAGAGAUCCUGAACCAGCCAAGCCGCGUGAGGGAAGACGGCCCUAUGGGUUGUAAACCUCUUUUGUCGGAGAACAAAACCCGGGACGAGUCCCGGACUGCGUGUAUCCGAAGAAAAAGCAUCGGCUAACUCCGUGCCAGCAGCCGCGGUAAUACGGAGGAUGCGAGCGUUAUCCGGAUUUAUUGGGUUUAAAGGGUGCGUAGGCGGUCCGUUAAGUCAGCGGUAAAAUUGCGGGGCUCAACCCCGUCAAGCCGUUGAAACUGGCAGA
rnacentral:rRNA from 1 species